rnacentral:hammerhead_ribozyme from 1 species
AUCCAACUGACGAGUCCCAGAUAGGACGAAACGUGUGUCUUGGAC